UACGUAGGGGGCAAGCGUUGUCCGGAUUCAUUGGGCGUAAAGCGCGUGUAGGCGGCCAGGUAGGUCGGUUGUGAAAACUGGAGGCUCAACCUUCAGACGUCGAUCGAAACCAUCUGGCUAGAGUCCGGGAGAGGAGAGUGGAAUCCUGGUGUAGCGGUGAAAUGCGUAGAUAUGCGGAGGAACACCGAUGGCGAAGGCAAUCCCCUGGGCCUGCACUGACGCUCAUGCACGAAAGCGUGGGGAGCAAACAGG
rnacentral:rRNA from 1 species